GUGGGGAAUCUUGCGCAAUGGGCGAAAGCCUGACGCAGCCAUGCCGCGUGAAUGAUGAAGGUCUUAGGAUUGUAAAAUUCUUUCACCGGGGACGAUAAUGACGGUACCCGGAGAAGAAGCCCCGGCUAACUUCGUGCCAGCAGCCGCGGUAAUACGAAGGGGGCUAGCGUUGCUCGGAAUUACUGGGCGUAAAGGGCGCGUAGGCGGACAGUUUAGUCAGAGGUGAAAGCCCAGGGCUCAACCUUGGAAUUGCCUUUGAUGCUGACUGGCUUGAGUACUGGAGAGGUGAGUGGAACUCCGAGUGUAGAGGUGAAAUUCGUAGAUAUUCGGAAGAACACCAGUGGCGAAGGCGACUCACUGGCCCGUUACUGACGCUGAGGCGCGAAAGCGUGGGGAGCAAACAGGAUUAGAAACCCUUGUAGUCC
rnacentral:rRNA from 1 species